ACACUGCUGACGAGUCCUACAAUAGGACGAAACGGCCGUCGAGUGC
rfam:Schistosoma curassoni strain Dakar, Senegal genome assembly, scaffold: SCTD_scaffold0000203